rnacentral:tRNA from 4 species
GCGGGUGUAGUUUAGUGGUAAAACUAUAGCCUUCCAAGCUGUUGUCGCGAGUUCGAUUCUCGUCACCCGCU